UAUUUAUUUAUUUUAUUGUUAUUAUUGUUAUUAUUAUUAUUAUUAUUAUUAUUAUUAUUAUUAUUUCUUUUUUAUUUGCCUUCUUCUUGAAUGACCGUGACUUUUAUCCGAGAUAAACAGUCUGCGUUUUGAUGUACUCUCCCUGGCUUGUAUUGUAUUCUAGAAUUUGUACUUGCUAGCUGUAUUGCCCACCAACCUAGCCUUCCAUUAUUAUCUUUUUGAUUUUGUAGCCAUUGAAGAGGGCUAUGGUCGCUGAUGAAGAAAAAAGGUUCGUCAAGAAGGUAGUGAAAGAUUUUAUGGCAAAGAUCACUGCGAGGGCUUCUUUUUCUACGGUAACGUAAUUUAAUUCUGGUUAUCUGAGCUGUCUACUGGCAUACGCAAUGACUACUUCAUUCCCGUCUUGAAUUUGAGACAAUAUCGCCCCAAUUCCAUAAUUACAUGCGUCAGUAAAAAGAAAAAAUUGCUUUCUAAAGUCGGGAUAUGCCAGAAUAGGCUUAGUUGUAAGGCAUGUUAGGAGGUUCUCAAAAGCUACCUGAUCUUCGUCAGUCCAAACGAAAGGUUCUUUUAAAGCUAAUUUAUGAGUUUUCUUUGUUAGUGGCUGGGCAAUCAAACCCAAUCCUUUAAUAAAACGUCUAUAGUAUUCUGCUAGUCCCAAAAAAGAUAUGAUGUCGUCAGCUGACUGAGGAACUGUAUAAUUAAGAAUUUUAUCAAUUUUUGCGGGAUCUGGUGCGAUGCCUUCUUUAGAAAUGAUAUGGACUAAAUAAUUUACUGAAUGUUUAAUAAACUGGCAUUUUUUGAGCUUAAGUCUAAGGUUAGCGAUUACUUUGCGAAUACUUUGCGUAUGUCUUCUAAAUGGGCUUCGAAUGUGUCUGAAAAAAUUAUGACAUCAUCCAAAUAAACUAAUGCUUUCUUUCCUAAGACGUCUCUUAGAACGUAAUUCAUUGUUCUUUGAAAUGUUGCCGAAGCGUUCCACAAUCCAAAAACCAUUCUUUUAAAUUAGUAUAAAUUAUUUUCUACGAUAAAUGCCGUUUUUUCUUUAGCUGAAUCUUCUAGUUCUAUCUGCCAGUAGCCAGAUGCUAGGUCAAGAGUCGUAAAAAACUUUUUUCCCUGUAGUUGAUCGAGAGUGGUAUCAUUUCUUGGUAAAGGGAAUGAAUUUUUUACCGUGACGCUGUUUAAUUUACGAUAGUCUACGUAAAAUCGUAAACUUCCGUCUUUAUUUUCCACGAGUACAACAGGUGACGCCCAGGGAGAGGUAGAUAACUCGGCGAUGUCUUUAUCCAACAUCUCCUUAAUUUGUCUUCUUAACUCUUCCUGAUGCUUCCUUGCUGCUCGAUAGGGUCUAAGUCUGAUAGGGCCUCUUCCUUGGGUGUCUAUACUAUGCUUAAUUAAACGGUAUAGAGUGGUUCGAGGUUGCCAUCUUGGAUAGUUAUUUCUCCCAGUUUGGUGCAGCCUCAAACAAAAAAGCAUUGGCAAUUUUAGUAUUUUUGGUGGGAAACUAAUGAAAGUGAACAAUUUUUGUAAUGGGUGUAGUUUACAAUGCCAAGUUAGUUACAAUAAUGAUUACUUACAUUACAAUAAUGCCAAGUUAGUUUACAACGAGCAAAUUGCAAGAGAGUCAUUUCUGAAGAAGCUUAGUGAUGAAGGACACUAUUCACCGUUUAAAUAUUCCGAUUGUGGUUUCGUCAUUUCAAAGGAAUAUUCUUUUAUUGGUGCAAGUCAAUACUGAAAUUAUAAUUAUUUAACGCACUGGCCACUUUCACUAUUUUAUCUACGAAACAUAUUUCAUCCUCGUCCGUGAAAAACAUUUCAUGAUGUAACGGUCCACUCAAAAUUGAAAAACGUUGUUUUAAUGUGCCAAUCACCCUUUCCGCAUGAAUUCUUACUUUAGAGAGUGUGCGAGACUCUCUAACUAGAUUUCAAAGCAAUCAAUAAUUGAGAUGCAGCGCUCAAAAUGUUCACGAAAAACCAUCGGAAGUGUAGCUUUUACUUCUCGUUCCCCCGGCCAAAAUAGAAAUGUUGGUACGAAUACUUGAUACAUGCCUGUGACCCAAAUGUGCACAUAUUUAGAGACGGUAGACUUUGCUAUGUUAAAUCGAUGUCCAAGAUCUUCAAGCCUGAGAUUUAAACGUAAUUUUACUAGGGUUAGGACAAACUGUUGGAAAUGCGUAAGGACUUCUAGUGGAUGUGGUUUCGGAGCAGAUUGUUCGAUGAAGUCAAAUAAGGCAAUUAAUUUUUCAUAGGAGUCGAUGCCAAUGUAAAACUUACAACGCUUGUCAUUAUUAAUAAUGAAUUUACUUAUAUCAAUCUGUAAACUGACAGUUGGCUGGCACUAUUUAUCUAAAAUUAACAAUGCCUUUUUGUUUGAGGUUGCACCAAACUGGGAGAAAUAACUAUCCAAGAUGGCAACCUCGAACCCCUCUAUAUCCUAAUUGAGAAUCUGUUGAAGCGAAAAUGUCUUUGAAAUCGUUUAAUAAUUUAAUUAAAGGUUUUUUAUAUUGAAAUUCUACGUUAGACAUGUAAGUGUCGAUUUCUGCUUGUUCUUCAUUUGGCAUUGUGUCAUUUUCAUCUUUUACGUCAAUUUUUCCAAUUAACUGACAAGCUGUUUCGACAUUGCCCAAUAAAAUUCCACGCGGUAAAUUAAUGAGUUUACUUGAAAUAUAACGAAUCAGCAAAUUGUAUUCCCCUUUAUCAUUUGUCUCGCCUAAAAAUUGAUCUACUGUAAUUCCCUCCGGAAGCUCUUUGCUAGGAGUAAACAGAAACGGAAAGCCAGGAAGCAAUUGAUAUUGUGACCUACUCAUUCUGGCUUUAAUGACCAUGCAAGUCGAUGGAAACGUCGUCAUCUUUUUGACUUAGGUCAUUAAAUUAUUGCUUGAAUAAAGAGGUGCUCUUCCUGCUUUGUCUCUCGUCAAAAAAAUAGUCUUAGUUCACCCACAUAGUACGAACUCAUGUUUAAAAGCAACUUAAUGCUUCAGAAAUGCAUGCUUCAGAAAUUCCGCUUGUAAUAACAAAUUCUUGUUCAAGUAUAUAUUCUCCAUAUUGGACAGGUAGCUUUACCUUCCCUAUGGUCUGUAAUUUUCUAUUCUGUACGUCAAAUAAAUCUGUGUCGGUCUCAGCACUGGCCAGUUGCAUUUCCGACGGUAAUAAUCUAUAAACUUUUUCGUGUAAAAGGCUACUUGGAGCGCCUGUAUCAAACAGCGCAUCAAAUUGAAUCUUAUGAAUCAAAAAAGAAAUACGGGGUGCUGAACUAUUUUGAAUAAUUUUAAUGUGAGAAAUCUGCCGGGUUUUUCCAUAAAAAGAGGUUUGACUACCAACUGACCCAAAGCUGCAGUUGGUACCUAAGCGUUUCCCUGUCCAUGAGAUGGAUCCGGAAUAUUAGGCUUUUGCUGCAUUUGUCUAUGGAUGCAUUCAUUCGCUCUAUGUCCUAUCUGCUGACAAGAAUAGCAUUUGAGGGGCUGUCGCAUAUCUGUAUUUUGUUCUCGAUUGUUUCUACAAUCCCUUUUUACGCGGCCUUUCAUGCCACAAGCAUGACAGGUCUGAGCGUGGGGAAUAUUGAGAUGUGAAGAAGGGUAGCAGUGGAGGGUUAUUAAUCGGGUACCUGUUUGGAAGGUUGCUCACAAAAUGGGGAGGUGGAGUAUUGUAAUUUUGUGGAGUAUUGUAAUUUUUUCUGUAUUGAUUUUAACCAUUGCUUGUUUGGUAUGAAUUUGCUUGUCUAUUAUUGGAAAAUCUGGUUCUAUUACGAUCACUGUUUUCUAUCAAUCGAGUCAUUGCUUUUUCCAAUCUUUCUACCUAGUCUGCGCUAGCAGGUCUCUGGGGGUUUCCAUCUUUUUCAGGGACCUUUUGGGGAUACCUGGUACCUGUCGCGAGGGUAUUUAUGGUUUCAGGUAGUUUCUCUAUGGCUUUUAAUAUUUUAAUACUGGUGGAGUUGUUUUCUACUGCGUUUAUAAAUUCUCUUUUGUCUUUUCCUUCUUUUUCUCCAUCCAGACAUAGAGCGUAUUUAUUGAUUUCGGCAACUAAGGCUUCGUAUGUAGUGAAAGGUUUGUAGCGGACUUUGUUUCUAUGAGUUUUGUCUAAUCCUUGAAGAAAUUUUUGACACAGCAUUUGGAGUCGUGUUGUUUCAUCAGUUUUUGUUUCAUCUUCCCCCUUGGGGUAUCCAUGUUCUAAAAUAUUUUUGAGGCGGAAACCAUAGUCAAGAAUAGCUUCGCCUGGAUGUCGUUUUACUUCUUCAAGUUGGGUUUGGAAAAAGUUUUGAUUUUCGUUUCCAUGGAAACGUUCUUGUACCUAUUACUUCUUUAUAAUCUUGAGUGACGCUUUCUAGGAUAUUUUGUAGAAUAUCAUAAGCAGAGCUGGCCAUUUUGGUCACCAACAUAUUAAUUUUUUCUUUUUCUUUCCAGUUGGACAUAGCGACAAUAUUUUCGAAUAGUUUAAUCCAGCGAUCGAAACGAGUUGAUGGUCCUCCCGUAAAAUUUUGCAGUUGGAUGAGCAUAGUUUGCGCGCGUUGUCCUUUUUGUAAUUCUUGCAGAUCUCCUAUUAUAGGGAUGACAUUUGUCACCAAUGAAUACUGAAGUGGAUCCAUUUUUAUUGUUUGUUUUCUGUGGAAUUGCUUGUUGUUUUCUGUUGGCGUCGAUUGCGCGACGGGUGGCACUGGCUGCUUUGUUUUGAUUGAAGUUGCGUUAAGUCUCCGCUUGGUGGUGUAUGUGGUGUUGUGUGGAAUUUGCUGACUGUCUCGUUUAUCUGUAGUUUGUUUGGAUUUUACUCCGCCAGAGGGUGGUUGUGUGUAUGCCUGCUGUGCUGUGAGAAUGGGGCUGAGGCUUUCGCAGCUGCUUUGACUUGCACUGUGUUGUCGGAUCGAGACUUUUAGCUGCUGUGCCGUGAAUUGUACCGUGUUUAGUAUUGCUUCCGGAAGAUCCGCUAGGUUUUCCAGGUGUGAGAGGAGAUUUAAAACUAGUUGGUGGGUUAGGUCUGGAACGGCUGCAAGGUUGACUAGGCGCCGUAAUAGGGAUGGGAGUUGAAGAAAAUCGUAGAUGAAUGUCGUUGAGUGAGCUGUGCAAAUUUUUUCUACGAGGCCCAAGGAUAGGUGAUGGAGAAUGCCGUGAGGAAUUGGAUGCUGUUUCUUCCUGCUGCUCUGAGUCUUCGCUGGAGUCAGCGUCUUGAUGAAGUGAGUGUAACGAUUGGCUUCGUUCAAAAAUUUGAGGGUCACUGUCUGAUUUUUUAAUGUGUGCUCCGUGUAGUCCGUCAAGCGAUCGACAAAGAUUUUGAUAAUUGAUGCAACGGCCGUAAGGGGCGUGUAUGGUCUAACGGUUGAUUUAGAAGGGAAUUAAUUUCUUCUAGAAACGGCAAUAGGUUGGGCAAUGGUUUUAACGGUUUCGGGUCUGAUAGUUGGGGAUAAUGGCUGAUUUUUUAAAUCGCGCUAUCGGAUAAUUUUGUUCGUGAACCGGUAAAAUUUGCUUGGAUUGUAAGGCUUUCUUGAGUGCAAAUAGGGCUAGCCGUAAAUGUUCUACAGGUAAUGGGGAAUGCGGUUGGUAAUUGACAGGGUGGGUUAAUAACGGCGCGUGCUUCACAUAUAUCUGUAGUAUCGACGCGUUGAUGUUCAUUUAAUGAGCUAAGUAAAGUGCUGUCAAAAUUAAAGUUGCUAGAAUUAGGCUAGGGUAAAGGUUCCGGAAUGUAACUUUAUUUAUUUCAGUGGCUGUCGGUUGAAUUAUAAAGGUUAUCUUAGGGUCAUUAACUACAGGAAGGGAGAAGGGGAGUUGUGGAGAAGAGCCCUGUAAUAAAACGCGUGACAGUUUUUCACUGUCACUUUCAAAAUCUGAAGUAGAUGGGGACUGCCGAAGCCAGUCAAUAGUGCAAGCAAGAAGUGAAGGACUAUUACUAAAAGAUGUCUUAAUAUCUUCCCACUUAAAAGAUUUUGGUUUCAUAAUAGUUUUAUAAUUUUUUAACCCAUGCUGUAAUAACUUAGCUGUUUUAAGGCUAACAGUUGAACGAGUAGAUCUCUUUUGGUGAGGAGAUGGUUCAGAUACAUCAAGAUUUACUUUAGCGACAGGUACAGAAGUAAGAUUAUCAAAGGUGGGCGAAAAGGGUUCAGAUCCGUGACGGACAGUACUCUAUUGAAUUACUAACAAUUUUAGGCUUAGCACCCGUAUACAAUGACAUUGUGGAUAAGUUCAAUACCGCUGCCACCAGAUGUAAAGGGAUCAUGGAUUUACUCAUUCUUCCCCUUAUGGAAUAAUUAAAUUAAAACCGAUUUAAAUAAAUAAAAAGGAGACGGCUGAUCCACAAUGCAAAUGUAUUGUUUACUAAGUCUAAGUCUACAAUUAUAAGUUAAAUGAGGUGUGACAUACCAAUUAGGAACAGUUGAACGAUGGGAGAUGGAAUACCUGGUUCACCGAAUUAAGUUAACUGAACUAAACUGGUACUUUGAACAGAGCUGUUAAGUCGCAGAGCUCGAAGGGAGCUGUGCUAGCUAACGGAACUGUCAGAACAAACAGAACUAUACUAUGAGAGGAAAGUCACGGCCUUUUAUAUGGAAAAGAUGCGGCCGUGACCUGAAUAAAGAAAACAAUAGGGAAAGAAGGCUCCGUGCAAAAGCCCCCCCCCCCCGACUCGAGUUGACAGUUCUGUAAACUCACUUAAGUCGAAUUUUAGGGAGGGUAAAGGGUAAUAUAGGGAGUUUGAGGUAUAAAUUAGUAUUUAAUAGUCCUGUGUUAAAGCCACCCUCGAACUGUGGUGACAGUUCGGACAGGUCACUUAAGUAGGGUUUAAGUGAAUAAUCAGUAAAAAUAUUUCUAUAUCUACGGUUAUUUAUGCAUUGUGAUCUUAAUCUAAAAAGGGUAGAAUGUUCUGGCGCGUGCGGUGCAGGUGCAUGAAUAUUCUAGGCGUGGGAACAGGUAAGAAGAUGUUCGGGGAGUUUCCGGCUAGACGAGGGUGCUUCCGUGUUAGUCGGCUGAUGUAAGAAUAUGUCUUCAGGCGGUGCAGGUGUCUUUUGGGGAGUCGAUGGGAAAAAGGUCUAUUUUGUUGCUGCUUGCAGUCUUAUGGUAGGUUCAAGUGGAGGCUGUGUGACGAGGAAUGUGGGGGAGAUAAAGUGAGGGAGCCAUGCUUGCAGAAUAGAAAUUCUGUUACAAAAGCAAGACCAAAUGACGAGGCCUUUAACGUUUUGCACAAUUUAUUCUCUGUUAAUUCCACCACAAUAAAAAAUAUCCACGUAUUUUUCUUACUUGCAACUCUUUAAUGAUUAUUAGGAAUAUCGGCUUACAAUCGAUUUACUGGGAAAAACUAGCAUUUUGUUUAUUACCAUUCUUUUGUAAUUUUCUGAAACCUAAACUGACUGAAAAGUGUUGCAUCACUUAUUCACCCUGUUUAGGAUAAAUUGCUAAAGUAGAAUAGGGGAUUCGGGGAAAAUAUCAGAUAAUACGAUACAGGUAUCAAUUCAACUUCUAGUAAAACACGACUUUUUAAAUGGUCAAGUUGAAUGGUAGGCCUACAUAAAUGUAAAAGCGGGCUCGGUGCCACUCAACGUAAGCGACGUUACAACAUGUAAAAAUCUAAAUUUCCCUCAACAGAAAUAUAAAGAUUGUAAGCAUAAAUCUACAAUACAAUGGCUUCGGGGUUUUAAGUUACAUAACCUUUGUUGAAUUUUUAUGUGGAAAGAUUCGUUUCGUUGUAGAGCGGGACCACGUACAGGAACCCUAUGAUAUCCUCGUUUAUAUAGUAUGUGACAAAUAUAUUACCAAAAUAUGUUAACGCACUGUUAAUUUUAUUGUUACGGUUUUCGUCGGUUAGGGGUAACGAACAUCGAGUGGGGUUUGUGAUAUUCGCAAAGGUAAUCUCUGGUUAACAGUUUUCAUUCAAAAAAAAAACUAUCAAAAAUCGUUAUCAGGGUACGGUUUCCGCAAAGGUACGCUUAGUUGACGAUUUUCGUCGGUUUUUGCCUGCGACAAUCAGUGGGUGUUAAUGAUUUUAGUUGUUUUUCUUGAGUAAUCUUGCUUGCCAAGGCUACCUCUAGAGACGCUUACUAAAAAUUAAAGUGUACCUAGUUUACUGUAGUUGCAUGUUCGUGGGCUUCGAGUCUUUGACGUUAUGCUUUUUUGGUUUACUAUCUCACAAAUUCUUGGAUUGUUUAAUAAGCCUGAUUGCGCUAUACUAAACUUAGUACUGGUUCUGAUGGAUAAUUUGUAUCGCCUGUCUGCCUUUCACACUGUUACUGCCCACACGUUUGUCCGAGGGGUUGUCGACUCGUAAGAAUCAUCGUACACCCUCGGAAAAGUAGGCAAGAAUCCCGAAGAAUCCCAAGAAUUCCUCAAAAAUCCUUAAUAAUCCCAAGAAUAUCUAAAAACUCCCAAGAAUCCCAAGAAUUAGAAGAAUAUCUCCUACGUUGGGGAAACCGACUAAAACUUCAGAACAUGUCUUCUUUGUUUUCAAUUAGAUAAAAUAUUAUCACCUGUUUGAUGAAGCAGUCGAACUCUGCCAUAUGUAAAUGUCAGAUUAAAGCUCAGAGAGAUAGUAAUGGACACUGGAAGAUUUCUAAUUAUACAAAGCAUGUCCAGCAGAUACAUCUCAGUAAACCAAAUAAUAUUUCUGCGAAAAGUGCCAGUGAUGGAGACCUGAGAAAUUUCUUGACUGUUCAAAAUGGUACUUCUUCUACUGAUGAUGACCGGCCAAACUCAGCUUGCAAUGGAAACGAUCUGAACACUCCCAUUCCACAGCAGUUGGAAUUUGUAAUAGUCGAAGUGCAUAAUCCUAGCAUAAAGAACAUCCAACAAGAGACUACUGUAAGCAUGGAUUCAUCUGUAUCUACAUGUAUGAUCGAAUCAGAUGUUCUCCAACAACAGACUGCUGAAACACCCUCAGGUGAAACUUCAACCAAGGCCUCAUCGUCGUUCAUGUAUCUUUCCAGUUUCGAUGGAGCCCAGAGACAGACAGAAACUGCUUCCAUGUCUUUCACACAUCCAGGUAUUUCCUUUAGUACAGUGACGCGAUUUUUGAAAACCCAAAAUAUCUUACCGUUUGCUAACAAAUUGCCAGUCCUGCUCAUAUUAUAAAUCUUAUAAAAAACAUGGGUGUUACCAAAGACAAGCAUGGAUUGCGAGAUGGAGAUUUAGAACUCAUUGAUAAGAUGAAUAAUGAUGCUGUAACUCGUCUGUGUAAUCCCCGGUUAACCGAAUUGUUGGGUAUUGUCUCUGGGUCGGAAGCGACACGGUUUUAUCUCAAUCUUAUGGACAGAGUUACUUCCAGUUUCCUAAACAAGAAAUUAGAGCCAUUAGAACGAGUGUACCGUCUGUGGUACUGUGUAUUUUGUCUCAGAUACUGGCGUUAUUGGUUGUCCUGCGAUGACGUAUAUCCUUUAACGAAGCAUUUCAUCACGCUGAACGCUUACUUGUGCAUCGAAAUCAAUGCUCAUUCAUUGGUAAUGUUAAUUUUAAGAUUACAAGAAAGCGGGACCCCUGAACUAUUUAUGCCAUGGCUGUUUUCAAGCCAGCCUUGUGAAUCCUAUUUCAAAGCAGCACGAUCGUUCACUCCUGUUGGCAGUAGUCAAUUAACUUUUACUUUACAAGAUUUUCUGUACAAUCGAUGUCGCAAAAUUGAUGUUCAAUUGCAAUUAAUUUCAUCGUCUAAAUCAGAUGGUAUUAGAUUGCCCAGAAUUGAAAAAAAACCUUAAACGCUUUGGGGGGAGCGGCGAGAGUUAUUUUUGUAAAUCUCUUCCGUCCAUUGAAGAAAUAGAAGCGACCAUCUUAAGAGCCAAAUAAGAUUCUAAAUCGACCAUGGUUAGCAUGGGAGUCAUUGUUUCAGAUGCCGAGUGUUUCAAUUUAGACAAUCGGUUAGCUUGGAAAAUGAAUCAGGCAGUACGUCAAAACGAACUCAGCAAUGAGCUUGAUGUUGACGAGGAAUGUGAAAGUAUUGAAAAUAAGGGAAAUGACUUUUUGGACGAAGUAGAUAGUUUUGAUGCAAGUGUUCUUACUUCUAUCAGUAAUGCCGAUUUUAAAGACUAUAGGGAGAUUCUUAAGCGUCACAUUGUCUCUAAUUGCAACGAACUCGGUAAUAAAAAUUUCGGUCGUCCUCGAUUUGGGCCUUUGUGCGACCCGACCCAUUUAAUCGAAUCUAGUCCAUUUGUUUUACUCACCAGCGAUGAUGGAAGCCAAAAAGUGAUAUAAAAUUAACUGUUGUAUGGUUCUGUGAGAAUGGUGUGCGCAAACAAAGUAAUGAUCGUCUUACAAGGGUAACUCAAAGCUCUAAUUUUCUUUUAAGUCGACAGUUAAUUGUUCGCUCGGUUUCUAAGCAGAAAGUCAGAAUUGGUGAUUGGUGCAUUUUUAAAUGUGAAAAAAAGGAAAUAAAAAAAGUAAAGCAAUGGUAGGGCUGCCAAUGGGGACAUUGCCUAUUUCAUUAUAUUAAACACGUUUGUCUUCUCUCUAGUGCAGCAAC